UGAUGCCAGGGUCAAAAGGUCUAAAUCCACAUGAGCUUGCUCAUCGGUGGAUUUAGACCUAAGGACCCGCCCCGAUAUGGAGCAGAACAUCCAGUGGAUGUUCGUUUUGCUCCGACCGAAGCGGAGCGUAGACAUAA
rnacentral:sRNA from 1 species